rnacentral:rRNA from 2 species
AAAGAAACCAACCGGGAUUGCCUCAGUAACGGCGAGUGAAGCGGCAAGAGCUCAAAUUUGAAAGCUGGCUCCUUCGGAGUCCGCAUUGUAAUUUGCAGAGGAUGCUUUGGGUGCGGCCCCCGUCUAAGUGCCCUGGAACGGGCCGUCAGAGAGGGUGAGAAUCCCGUCUUGGGCGGGGUGUCCGUGCCCGUGUAAAGCUCCUUCGACGAGUCGAGUUGUUUGGGAAUGCAGCUCUAAAUGGGUGGUAAAUUUCAUCUAAAGCUAAAUACUGGCCGGAGACCGAUAGCGCACAAGUAGAGUGAUCGAAAGAUGAAAAGCACUUUGAAAAGAGAGUUAAACAGCACGUGAAAUUGUUGAAAGGGAAGCGCUUGCGACCAGACUCGCCCGCGGGGUUCAGCCGGCAUUCGUGCCGGUGUACUUCCCCGUGGGCGGGCCAGCGUCGGUUUGGGCGGCCGGUCAAAGGCCCCUGGAAUGUAGUGCCCUCCGGGGCACCUUAUAGCCAGGGGUGCAAUGCGGCCAGCCUGGACCGAGGAACGCGCUUCGGCACGGACGCUGGCAUAAUGGUCGUAAACGAC